GAUGAACGCUGGCGGCGUGCCUAAUACAUGCAAGUCGAGCGAACAGACGAGGAGCUUGCUCCUCUGACGUUAGCGGCGGACGGGUGAGUAACACGUGGAUAACCUACCUAUAAGACUGGGAUAACUUCGGGAAACCGGAGCUAAUACCGGAUAAUAUAUUGAACCGCAUGGUUCAAAAGUGAAAGACGGUCUUGCUGUCACUUAUAGAUGGAUCCGCGCUGCAUUAGCUAGUUGGUAAGGUAACGGCUUACCAAGGCAACGAUGCAUAGCCGACCUGAGAGGGUGAUCGGCCACACUGGAACUGAGACACGGUCCAGACUCCUACGGGAGGCAGCAGUAGGGAAUCUUCCGCAAUGGGCGAAAGCCUGACGGAGCAACGCCGCGUGAGUGAUGAAGGUCUUCGGAUCGUAAAACUCUUUUAUUAGGGAAGAACAUAUGUGUAAGUAACUGUGCACAUCUUGACGGUACCUAAUCAGAAAGCCACGGCUAACUACGUG
rnacentral:rRNA from 1 species